GAGUUUGAUUAUGGCUCAGAUUGAACGCUGGCGGCAUGCUUUACACAUGCAAGUCGAACGGCAGCACAAAAGAGCUUGCUCUUUUGGUGGCGAGUGGCGAACGGGUGAGUAAUACAUUGGAACGUACCGGGUAAUGGGGGAUAACCAAUCGAAAGAUUGGCUAAUACCGCAUACGCUCUGAGGAGGAAAGCGGGGGACCUUUGGGCCUCGCGUUAUUCGAGCGGCCAAUGACUGAUUAGCUAGUUGGUGGGGUAAGGGCCUACCAAGGCGACGAUCAGUAGCGGGUCUGAGAGGACGAUCCGCCACACUGGGACUGAGACACGGCCCAGACUCCUACGGGAGGCAGCAGUGGGGAAUUUUGGACAAUGGGGGCAACCCUGAUCCAGCCAUGCCGCGUGUAUGAAGAAGGCCUUCGGGUUGUAAAGUACUUUUGUUCGGGAAGAAAAGGGACCGGUUAAUACCCGGUUCUGCUGACG
rnacentral:rRNA from 1 species